rfam:Scleropages formosus scaffold410, whole genome shotgun sequence.
ACCAGAUCAUGAUGACUUGUGCUAAAACCCACAGUGGAACGCACAAGUUUGAUCUCACCUGGU